rnacentral:lncRNA from 1 species
AUAAUACAGCAAGAAGGCCUACACCAGAAGCCAACAUCACACUUUUGGACUUCUCAGCCCCAGAACUGACUUUACCAAAGGGUACAAGAAUGAGCUAACACACUCCAAGACUGUGACAUUUUUCUACGUGAGUCAAGGCUGAACUUCCAUGUUAUUGUCUCCUGUAUACAGAGCAGGAAGCUAAGACUCAAAGAGAUUAAAUAGCAAUUCCGAUCAGUAAAAAGCAGAGCACAGACAUGAAUGAGUUUAUCCUAUUUCAAAAUUAUUAUUCUUUUUUAAAUUUCAUCUUUAUAACUUUUUUAUUUCUAACUACAGAAGUAAGUACAUAAGCAUGACGGAAAAAUUGGAAUAUACAGAAAUGUAUUUUAUAUUUCUUUUCAGUCUCUCUUUCAGAACACACAAAAACACAUGUAGUAUUUCAUCAGGAUCGGUCAUAACAUGUUCUUUCCACUUCUCUACAAAGGUACAGAAUUCUCACCCUCAAGCAGGAAGAACAGCCCCAAGAAUUCCAGGUUGCCAACAGUUUAUUAAUCAAGUGAAAGCAAACUCAAAAUUUUCUCAAGUGAGCUUAUAUUUCACUGUGUUAAUUUUCAGAUAGCCCAUUAUAAUUUAAUAAUACACACACAAGAUUAAUUGAAAUUUAAAAAUAUUUCUGUUUUGUACCUGAUUUCAGAAAUGGUACUAGGGUAUAAUGAAUGUAAAGUCUAACUAAAGAACGAACAAUCCCAGCCACCAAAAAGACAAUCAAUAGAAAUAAAAUAAAGUCCAAUAUCCAAUAUUCAUCCAUUCAUUUAUCAUUCAACAAGUAAUUUUGAGUACCUGUCAUGGGCCAGACUUUGUUUUGGGGCCCAAGGAUAAAACUGUAAACAAAUAGACAAAUUCCCUGCCUUCAGAGAGCUUACACUCCACUAAGGAGAAACUGACAAUAAAUAAAUUGAGAAAAUAUCAGGUUGUAAUAAGUACUGUGGAGAAAAAUAAAUCAGGAUAAAAGGAUGGAAAGUGCUGAGGAAGGAAGUUGCUUUUUUAUGCUAUGUAUUACCUCAGAAUGCCGUAACAAAAUAUCACAGACUGGUUAGCAUAAACAACAGACAUGUAUUUUCUCCCCAUUCUGGAGGCUAGAAGGCCAAGAUCAGGGUUCCAGCCGAUUCCAUUUCUGAUGAGGGCUCUCUUCUGACUGGCUGAUGGCCAAGUUCUUUCUAUAGCUUCACAAGGCCUUUUUUCAGUAUUUGCUGGAGGAGGGAGAGAGAGUGAGCUCUCUGGAUUCUUUUCUUAUAAGAACACUAAGCCAUCGAUAAAGGCCCCACCCUUCUGAUCUCAUUUAACCUUAAUUAGUUCCCUAUUCCAAAUACAGUCACACUGGGUGUUAGGGUUUCAAUAUUUGAAUUUUGGAGGGGUACAUGCCUUCAGUCCAUAACAUACAGGUUAUUCAGAGAAGACGUCCCUGAUAAGAUGUGGUAGCUAACUUUCAGGAUGACCCUCAGUGGGCCUCAUCUUCUGGUGUUCACACCCUUGGAUAGUCUCUUCCCAAAUAAAUUAGGAAUUGGGACUGGUCUCAAUGUGAUAGAGUCAAGGGCUGGUCUCAGUGCAACAGAGUAGAGCAGAGAUUAAGAUAUUUCACCUCUGAGGCUGGGUCAUAAAAGGCACCAAAGCUUCCACUCUGUUUUUUUGGAUCACUCUCUCUGGGACAAGCCAGCCUCCAUGGCAUAAGGACACUCAAACACCCUUGGGAGAAGACCAUGCGGGAAGGAAGUCAGACUUCCCACCAAGAGUACUAAUUUGUCAAACAUGUGAAUGAGCAAGCUUGCAAGUGGAACCUCCAGCCCCAGUAAAACCUUCGGAUAUCUGACUGCAGCUCCAGUUGAAGUUUGAACUCCAACCUCACUGGAAGCCCUUAACCAGAACCACUCUGCUGAACUGAUUCCAAAUUCUUGGCCCCAGAAAAGAUGGUCAAGGACAACAUUGUGUAGUUAUAGAUAAAUGCAUUCAAACUACCAAUUGUGUUUCAAGGUGAUCAAGG